rnacentral:lncRNA from 1 species
UUUUUUUUUUUUUUUUUUUUUUUUUUGAUCAUUAAAGUUUCCUUCAUGCAAUAGCCCACAGAAAUGGUGGUUCUAAGGUACCUACCGGCUUUAGGACAUAUUGCUUUCCAGGGCAUUAGGCAAGGGGGAAAGCCAAUUGUACAUGGUUAUUUUAAGAGUAAACUGUCACCAACAAAAAGCUGUGGGACAAGUUCAAGUCUAAGAGCAAAAUGAACUCCCAGCUCAGACAGACAUCCGGAAGCACUGGUGGCUUUGUGGCAAUAGCACCUGAGUUCCCUGGAAGAAGACUCCCGAAGAUCAGGUGCAUGGGAGCAGAAGAGGCUCUUACCAAACCCUGGAGAGACCAUCGUCUCCUACCUUAAUUUCUUUUCUCCACUUCCAAAAAAAAAAAAAAAAAAAAAAAAAAAAAGGCUGCACUGAAUAAAUCAUAAAUCAUGUCGUUACACUUGUGAGGUUAUUGCAAAUGAAGAGAGCAGGUCUCUCUAAAGCUAACCCUCACCAGAGAAGAAUGGAGGACACCCCAUUCCUGCUGUCUGACUUUCCUUCCCCACUUUCCCAUGCUUCAGACUCACUCCCCUGCUGUGGGAUGGUAAUCUGCCUACAGGAGGGACAAAGCAAGUCAGCAGAGCUUGUCUGGUGACAUUUUCACAGGGAAGAGAAAACACAGAAGGAAAACCUUCCAAGAGUGCACUCCAGGGCAAGGUUGCCAGCAGACUAGAUGCAGAAAUGGUAUUGAGCAGAGAGUAUGUACGGAAUUCAUUAAUAACUGAGUCCUAAUAAGUUUUCAUCUCUUCUUAGAGCUUGAACAAAACUGUGUCUAUGAAGUUAUUUUUCUGAAUAUUUGAGAAAACAGAACCUCAAUCGAUCAAUAGAUAAGCCCUGACUACAUUAAGCAUAGGCGUCUAUGAAUACCAGUCUGUUGAGCUUUAAAAUUGCUUAACUUGGUACUCCAACACCUUUGUAGUUUUUACAUGUGUAAAGCUACAUGUGUCCCACACUUGCCUUCAAACACUCUAUAAAUAAUGUAGAAUUCUGAAAAGGGCAUAGGAAAACCCCCAAACUGUCACGAUCCAUAGUGGAACAAACAGAUCCACUGAAUGCAGUGAUUGUCAACAUUCCUUUUCUAGCAACAACAGGGACGCUAGAGACAGGGUAACAAAGAUGAGAAGGAAGGAGUUGUCCGAGGGAAUGCCAGCAUGCUGUUUGAAUCACUUUCCUGCUGUCAGUGAAAUAUAUUUUAGGACAUGAUGUGUCUGGAUCCUGUUUCUGAACUGGAACACCAAACUAGCUCCCAUGGGAAGGUGUUUUUGGCAUGUGCUCGCAGAAUGUCCCUUCAGCACUGUGGACUUGCUGUUCGUUUUAAUGGCUCACCUCCCCACCAUGCUGAGGUAAUUAAAGUGUUCUAAAGCCCCUUCAGAACUUGAAAAUAGUUUCUGUUUGCUAGGCAGGUGAUAAAUCUCAUUCAGCCUGACAGAAAUGUAAUUAUAGUUUCUUCAUGGAAACACCAGGGACACCAUUACCUGGAUCUCACAAAGCUCAAGGCUUGCAGACCCCCCACAGCUGAAAGGUCAGGAACUAAGAACAAGUUUUUUUCGUCAUUUAUAUACAUGGGAGGCCUCCUUAGCUUAGCUAGAUUAAAUUGGACUGGAGAAACAUUGGUUUAGGAAUUUGAAAAAGGCAAGGUCUUUUGGUUGUUGUUGUUGUUGUUGUUGUUGUUUGGUUUUGGUUUUUGGUUUGUUUUUUGUUGUUGUUGUUGUUGUUGUUACCACUGGUCAGGAAAAGCCAAGCCCAUUUGGACCCAAUAACAUCUCACAGAAGAUUU